UCUUAUCUUAAAUUAUGAAGGUGACAUUCCUGAACUAGAGCUAUAUUUUGUUAUUAUAAACAAUGAAUAUGGAAAGCAAAUUGAAGAAGAGCUACUUCCUGGAGGAAAAAACCGUCGUGUCACCUGUGAAAAUGUCAUCACAUUCAUUCAUCUUGUUGCCAAUCAUCGUUUGAACUUUCAGCAUAGUUUGUCCCUUGUUUAUCCAAUGUGUCUCCCUACUCCAAUGUUGAUUGAAAACAUGUCCUCCUCAGAUACGACAGCAAAGUUCUCAUUUUUUGAGAGGGAUUCAGCAGCUUAUACAGAAAGAAUGGAUCAACAUGUUCAAUGAGCAUGAAUUCCAGCUUUCAAUAUCAGGUUCACUGGACAGCUUGGAUGUUGAUGACCUACGGACACAUACUACUUAUUCAAGUGGUUAUCAUAGGGAGCAUUAUGUCAUUGAGAUGUUUUGGGAAGUUAUCAAAAGUUUCUCAGUGGAAAACCAAAAGAAAUUUCUGAAAGACUGGCAGAUGGUUUAAGUAGCUUUAAAACAAGUAGAAUAAAUCUUAUUGAUUUACCUGGUUCCGGAGGCAGAAGCUAACAGGUGCAGCUGGGGAGCGCUUGAAGGAAGCACGCAAUAUCAACCGAUCACUCUCACAACUCGGAUCGGAAUGAUGUUGCUCAUCUGAAAGAAGGCAGCAUCAUGUGCUUGAAGACUUGU